rnacentral:rRNA from 1 species
GGGCCCGCACAAGCGGUGGAGCAUGUGGUUUAAUUCGACGCAACGCGCAGAACCUUACCAGGGUUUGACAUCCUGUGCUACGCGCUGAGAGGCGCGGUCCCCGCAAGGGGCGCAGAGACAGGUGCUGCAUGGCUGUCGUCAGCUCGUGUCGUGAGAUGUUGGGUUAAGUCCCGCAACGAGCGCAACCCUCGCCUUUAGUUGCCAUCAUUUAGUUGGGCACUCUAGAGGGACCGCCGGCGACAAGCCGGAGGAAGGUGGGGAUGACGUCAAGUCCUCAUGGCCCUUACACCCUGGGCUACACACGUGCUACAAUGGCGGUGACAGUGGGCAGCGACCACGCGAGUGGAUGCGAAUCCCAAAAAACCGUCCCAGUUCAGAUUGUACUCUGCAACUCGAGUACAUGAAGGUGGAAUCGCUAGUAAUCGCAGAACAGCAGGCUGCGGUGAAUACGUUCCCGGGCCUU